AAAAAUACACUUCAGUUUCUAUUCAUCUUCCUCGUUUAGUUUCUACUCUUCUCGAUCUCCAUCGUUCUGCAUACCAUCUCAAUUGUUAAGCUUCUACUUUGUUCACAGUUCCAUUGUUCUACAUACCAUCUCCAUUGUUCUCGUUUUACUUUACCUAAAUCCUUCGUUUCGACCCAACACCUCACCGUCGAACCCUAAAUCAUACUCUUUGUUUACACCUCAAUCACUCGCUAUUUCUUCCUCAAAUCCUUAAAAUUCAUCAAGUGAGGUACAAAAUUUUCACUCUCACUCUCCCUCUGGAAAACCCCUAUAACAUUUUCUGAAAGCCCUGAUCUGUAAAAUCCCAAUUCUCUGAAAUCCCUCAAAUUCCCCCAAAUCUCUCGAUCUCUCAAUUUUUGGGAGAAAUUCAAACGCGGCUUCCAUAUUUAUACUGAAUCGAAGGCAAAGCUACAUGAUAUGAUUAACCUUCUAUAUUCACAUAGUCUUUCUCUCCUUCUAUAUUCACAAGGACUUGCAGGUUCUAAAUUUGAUGCAAGAUUCACUAGUAGUUGAAUAUAUGGUUCCCAUGGGAUGCUUUAUUUGAUGCAAGUACUUGCAGGUUCUAAAUUUUGAUUCACUUGCAGGUUCUAAAUUUUGAUUCACAAGUACUUGCAGGUUCUAAAUUUUGAUGCAAAGAUUCACUAGUAGUUGAAUAUAUGCUUUAUUAUCUUCCUCUGCAAAUUUCCAUUUGAUUGCUAUAGUUUUUUUUUUUUUUUUAAUAAUUUACUUGAUUGUUUUCCAUACCUGAAUUGGAUGUUUUAUUUAUUAGUAGUUUAUUUACUUGCUAUUGUUGCAUCAGGUGUAACCUCAGGGAAACUUUUGAAUAUAUGUGGUUUUAGUGUGUUUAUUGAUAGACUGAUGAUAGUAUCACUAUGUGCUAUAAAUAUACAUUAAGUGUUGAGUGUCCUAUCUCUAUUUUCCUAAAGUACCAGAUUACUUGUCCUGCAUAGUAUUAGAAGUUUAGUAUGCUAAUCUGUUCUACUAUUUUGAAUGACUUGUGAAAGACACAUACAUAAUGACCAUGUAAAUCAUUCUUAUACAAGCUAUUUCCAUUUCAGCUCAAGAAGUCAAUUAUAUAUGGUUUUACAAUCUAGAUGAAAGUGAAGAAAUUGCAAUCUAGAUGUUGUGGUUUUUGUCAUGCCAGAGUCAGAUUAAUUGAGGUAUGGUCCCUUGACUCCCUUCUUGAUCUCAACCUAGAUCAGGAAUGACAAAAUGAAGGUAGUUGAUGAGAAAUUAAAGAUGAUUGAGAGGUAUCAUCUAACCAUUGCUUAUCAUAAUUUUUCUCUUAAUUGAUUUUUAAGACUAAGUUGUUUAUUCUUUGGUAGUGGAUUUAGAACAUGAUCUGAAGCAUUAUCUUAGUGUGAAUUUUAUUGGGAUAGAAUUGAAUUUGACCCAUGUUUUUGUGUUUUUAUAAGUUUGAUUUUUGGGUUUCUAUUGUUCCUAACUUCUUCAUGAACCAAUUUUGAGUUGAGUCUCUUGUUUUUUUUAUUAUUGUUCUUGACUUAUUGUAUAUGCUAAUUCAUUGCCUUAUUGUUUAUAAGACAAGAUGAUUAUCAAACAGCUCCUGUUGCUUACAUAGUUUGGUUCAUAAGAUGUUUAUUUACUUUCAUUUAGGUGAUAUGUGUGGUGGUAGUGGAAUUGAAUUCAUGGUUGCAAUCCCUAAUAAUCAGCUUGCUGAAUGCUGAUAUGAAUGAUUAUAAGCGUGCCAAACAAUGGGUUAACAUCAUAAAAAUUUUAUUAGAAGAAAAAUAGUGAGCCAAGAAAACAAGAGCUGCGGUGGAAUACUAUCAAGGUACAAAGGAAACAAAACAAGCAGGCCAUAGCAGCCAUUGAAACAGAGGCGGAAGCAUCACACACACAACCUCACAGGCAAACCAGAAGCAGAACAACAAGACCAAAGAACUGCCCCAGCACAGUCACCUACCCAAGCACGGAUGCCUCUAAUAGAGGUCUUUUUGAAAACAUGAGAGAUGUUGGCUUGGAAAAUGGCAGAGGAUUGCUUAGGUUAAUACUAGUUUGUCUUGUUUUAAUUAGUGUUAUGAACAUAGUAUGUCGCUUAGGUUAAUUAGUUGGAAAUGGUUUGAGAGCUUAUUGUCAAUGUUGUAGUAAACCAAGUUUUGGUAUUACUAGCAUGGAAGUUUCCUUUUGUCUUGGACAUAGAAUUAUCUUGCUUCUUUAUCUGUUUUGUGAAGGAAGGGAACCUCAUGUAAUUUGAUUGUACUUAUUGGCCUUCCUUGUGCCUUUUUAUCUUUAAUAUAUUUUUGGCCUUUUGACCUUUGUA